rnacentral:rRNA from 1 species
UACGUAGGGUGCAAGCGUUGUUCGGAAUUACUGGGCGUAAAGCGCACGUAGGCGGCUUUGUAAGUUAGAGGUGAAAGCCCAGGGCUUAACCCUGGAAUUGCCUUUAAGACUGCAUCGCUAGAAUCGUGGAGAGGUGAGUGGAAUUCCGAGUGUAGAGGUGAAAUUCGUAGAUAUUCGGAAGAACACCAGUGGCGAAGGCGACUCACUGGACACGUAUUGACGCUGAGGUGCGAAAGCGUGGGGAGCAAACAGG